GAUUAGAGUUUGAUCCUGGCUCAGAUUGAACGCUGGCGGCAUGCUUUACACAUGCAAGUCGAACGGUAACAGGCCUUCGGGUGCUGACGAGUGGCGAACGGGUGAGUAAUGCAUCGGAACGUGCCCAGUAGUGGGGGAUAGCCCGGCGAAAGCCGGAUUAAUACCGCAUACGACCUACGGGUGAAAGGGGGGGAUCGCAAGACCUCUCGCUAUUGGAGCGGCCGAUGUCAGAUUAGGUAGUUGGUGGGGUAAAGGCCUACCAAGCCUGCGAUCUGUAGCUGGUCUGAGAGGACGACCAGCCACACUGGGACUGAGACACGGCCCAGACUCCUACGGGAGGCAGCAGUGGGGAAUUUUGGACAAUGGGCGCAACCCUGAUCCAGCCAUGCCGCGUGCGGGAAGAAGGCCUUCGGGUUGUAAACCGCUUUUGUCAGGGAAGAAAUCUUCUGGGCUAAUACCUCGGGAGGAUGACGGUACCUGAAGAAUAAGCACCGGCUAACUACGUGCCAGCAGCCGCGGUAAUACGUAGG
rnacentral:rRNA from 1 species